rnacentral:rRNA from 1 species
UACGUAGGGGGCAAGCGUUGUCCGGAAUUAUUGGGCGUAAAGAGCGUGUAGGCGGCCAGAUAAGUCCGCUGUGAAAUCUCGAGGCUCAACUUCGAGCUGUCGGUGGAAACUAUCUGGCUAGAGUCCGGAAGAGGAGAAUGGAAUUCCUGGUGUAGCGGUGAAAUGCGCAGAUAUCGGGAGGAACAUCAGUGGCGAAGGCGGCCAUCUGGAUCAACACUGACGCUGAGGCACGAAAGCGUGGGGAGCAAACAGG